CUUCUCAAUUACAGAACAGUAAUUAAUUAUACUGUAAAUUAUUGCAUUUGUUAUUGCAACUUUUGAAAAAUAAACAAAAAUGUAAGAUUAAUUCACCUUUUCAGAAUCUAAAGGACUAUGGGUAAUCUCAUUGUUCGUACACCAAAAGAAAAAAAUGUUAUGUCAUUGGUUGAAUUUCAAUUGUUUAGAACGUUCUUAACCAAUCACAAGGUUUUGGUGUACGCUUUUGAAAAUUUGCCACAGAAUGCAUUAGUUUAUGAAAAUGGCAAAUUAUUGUGAUUUUAAUAAAAUGCUGCAUACAGACAGUAGAUGAUGGACAAGUGAUAACAAGUGAUGCCAUCACAGACAUCACAGAUGGCAAAAAAUGUAAUACAUUCAUUAGUUUUUAUAGCACAAUUAGUGAAUCAUAAAAUAAGUUCUAAACAAUGAACUACCUUAAUUAAAAACUUUAACAUGAUCAAAAAUGUACAAACAGACAAAAUAAUGGACAGAUGGACAGCUGCACUAACCAUAAUACACAAUGCCCCUAUACUAUAUUAAGC
rnacentral:lncRNA from 1 species